rnacentral:rRNA from 1 species
GACGAACGCUGGCGGCGUGCCUAAUACAUGCAAGUAGAACGCUGAAGGAGGAGCUUGCUCUUCUGGAUGAGUUGCGAACGGGUGAGUAACGCGUAGGUAACCUGCCUGGUAGCGGGGGAUAACUAUUGGAAACGAUAGCUAAUACCGCAUAAGAGUAGAUGUUGCAUGACAUUUACUUAAAAGGUGCAAUUGCAUCACUACCAGAUGGACCUGCGUUGUAUUAGCUAGUUGGUGGGGUAACGGCUUACCAAGGCGACGAUACAUAGCCGACCUGAGAGGGUGAUCGGCCACACUGGGACUGAGACACGGCCCAGACUCCUACGGGAGGCAGCAGUAGGGAAUCUUCGGCAAUGGACGGAAGUCUGACCGAGCAACGCCGCGUGAGUGAAGAAGGUUUUCGGAUCGUAAAGCUCUGUUGUAAGAGAAGAACGAGUAUGAGAGUGGAAAGUUCACACUGUGACGGUAUCUUACCAGAAAGGGACGGCUAACUACGUG